UUUCCGUAGGUGAACCUGCGGAAGGAUCAUUGUCGAUACCUGCACAGGCAGACCGCGAACUCGUUUUAAUACACUGGGCUCGUUGUGUGGGGGUAACUCCUCAGCGUGUCGCUCUCUUGCAUGGGCUGCGGGCAAACAAGCCCCGGCGCGGAAUGCGCCAAGGAAAACUAUUGUGAGCGUCCGCCCCUAUCGCCCCGUUUGCGGUGUGCGGGGGGGGAUGUUCCUUAAUGUCUAAAUGACUCUCGGCAACGGAUAUCUCGGCUCUCGCAACGAUGAAGAACGUAGCGAAAUGCGAUACUUGGUGUGAAUUGCAGAAUCCCGUGAACCAUCGAGUCUUUGAACGCAAGUUGCGCCCGAAGCCUCCUGGUUGAGGGCACGCCUGCCUGGGCAUCACACAUUGCGUCGCCCCCUUCCUCGGAUAAUGGCCUCCCGUUCGCGUCAGCUCACGGCUGGCUCAAAUGAAAUCACGUGGCGACCACCGUCACGACAACCGUUGGUUGAGCACUCCACUCUCUGCUUUCGUGUUGGGUGGGCUGCGUCCUCAUAGACCCAACGGCGUGAAUGCUCGCGCCAUUGAAUGCGACCCCAGGUCAGGCGGGAACACCCGCUGAGUUUAA
rnacentral:rRNA from 1 species